AUGGCGAACGCCGGCUGCAAACCCGUCUCGGUUCCUACGACGGCUUGCUCGACUUCGGCUUCCCUGAAAGCGCCUCGCAACGAAUCGAAAAGAGCGAGCGAGCUCCAAGGACGUAAUCGAAGCGCCAAAUCAAUCUCGAAAGCACGGCGGCUACGGGCGCAGCCAUUUCUCCCCCAGCCUCUGCGCGCGACGAUGCAAGAUCAAACGGGCAGYGCACUUGAGGGGAGGGGGAAAAAAAAAGAAAAAAAAAAGAGGAGCAAAGAAAACACAAAACCACAGCCCAGCGAAAGGAAUCAAUUCAUGCAAACGGGCUCCCUUGUGCUGCAAGAAAGCCCAGCACGGGGAACGGGGAAGCGGAGGGCAGCGUCGCGGCUGCUUGCCAUUUUGCAAGCGCGCGUUCACAAACCGCGUGUUCAUCCCCCUGCUGCUUCGAAGCAAAGAGACGGCCYGGAAAUACUGUCAGCUCAACGACCGCCUGUGCGUAUCAGGCCGCCGCACAAGCAGCGAGGCGCAUACAGUUCAAAGGACAGGGAAAAACUUGCAGCUCCUCCUUCUUCUUAUUUUAAGGGGGGGAGCCCUUGGCAUAAGCCAAGCCUUGAACGACAGCACCAGCCCGCACCGAAUCAGUGCCGCUCCUCUGGAGCGAAAACUGUCUUGCAAAGAGCCCAGCCUCUGCCCCGGAGAGAGCUGGCUGCCUUCGGAGAGGGCAAAAUGUCCACGCAAGGGAGAGGGCCGAUUCCAGCUGCACUUCUGCACCCCCUUCGCAUGCUGUGGCUAGUUACUCCCAAACUCAAAGCCAGACCUAAAGCAAACCAGGCAAAGUUUGCUCUGCCAAAAAACACUGGCUCUGCUGAACACGUCUUUGCUUUUGCAAGGAGCAAAGCAAAGAGCUAUGGUUUUAUUAGGAUAAAUUUCUUCCACGGGAAGGGCUUCACUUUUAAUUACACCAUUUUAAGGUUACAAAUUGUUUUCUGGCCCUUAUGCAUAAUUAAAUAUAGAUGUUCUCUGAGCUUAAUGUCAGUUGAAAUUCCAGGCCAGGGCAAGUAA
rnacentral:lncRNA from 1 species